rnacentral:rRNA from 1 species
UACAGAGGUCUCAAGCGUUGUUCGGAUUCAUUGGGCGUAAAGGGUGCGUAGGCGGCGCGGUAAGUCGGGUGUGAAAUCUCGGGGCUUAACUCCGAAACUGCAUUCGAUACUACCGUGCUUGAGGACUGGAGAGGAGACUGGAAUUUACGGUGUAGCGGUGAAAUGCGUAGAUAUCGUAAGGAAGACCAGUGGCGAAGGCGGGUCUCUGGACAGUUCCUGACGCUGAGGCACGAAAGCGUGGGGAGCGAACAGG